CCUACGGGGGGCAGCAGUAGGGAAUAUUGCUCAAUGGGGGAAACCCUGAAGCAGCAACGCCGCGUGGAGGAUGAAGGUUUUAGGAUUGUAAACUCCUUUGGGGAGAGAAGAGAAGGACGGUAUCUCACGAAUAAGCACCGGCUAACUCCGUGCCAGCAGCCGCGGUAAGACGGAGGGGGCAAGCGUUACUCGGAAUCACUGGGCGUAAAGAGUGUGCAGGCGGGCUUGUAAGUCCGAUGUGAACUCCUGUAGCUUAACUACAGAACUGCAUUUGAAACUCUGAGUCUAGAGUGUGGGAGCGGUAGGUGGAAUUCUUGGUGUCGUGGUCCCAUCC
rnacentral:rRNA from 1 species